AGUGAACGCUGGCGGCAGGCCUAAUACAUGCAAGUCGAACGGCAGCACAGCAGAGCUUGCUCUGUGGGUGGCGAGUGGCGGACGGGUGAGGAAUACGUGGGAAUCUGCCCAGUCGUGGGGGAUAACGUAGGGAAACUUACGCUAAUACCGCAUGCGCCCUCUGGGGGAAAGCCGGGGAUCUUCGGACCUGGCGCGAUGUGAUGAGCCCACGUCGGAUUAGCUAGUUGGAGGGGUAAAGGCCCACCAAGGCGACGAUCCGGAGCUGGUCUGAGAGGAUGAUCAGCCACACUGGAACUGAGACACGGUCCAGACUCCUACGGGAGGCAGCAGUAGGGAAUAUUGGAUAAUGGGCGCAAGCCUGAUCCAGCCAUGCCGCGUGAGUGAAGAAGGCCCUCGGGUUGUAAAGCUCUUUCGCAAGGGAAGAAACGAUACAGAAUAAUACUCUGUGUUAAUGACGGUACCUUGAUAAGAAGCACCGGCUAACUACGUGCCAGCCGCCGCCGUAA
rnacentral:rRNA from 1 species